UGGGACCUCAAGCUAAGCGGAAACCUGUGUA
rnacentral:piRNA from 1 species